rnacentral:tRNA from 1 species
AUGCUCGGCCGGGAAUCGAACUCGGGCCGCCCGCGUGGCAGGCGAGCAUUCUACCACUAAACCACCGA